GGGGCUAUAGCUCAAUAGGUAGAGCACCUGUUUUGCACGCAGGGGGUUAGCGGUUCAAUCCCGCUUAGCUCCA
rfam:Blochmannia endosymbiont of Polyrhachis (Hedomyrma) turneri strain 675, complete genome.